UAUAGAGGAAGAGAAAGACAUAUGGGGGGAAGGGGGAUAAUAUAGAGGAAGAGAAAGACAUAUGGGGAGAAGGUUGAUUAUAUAGAGGAAGAGAAAGACAUGGGGAGAAGGUUGAUUAUAUAGAGGAAGAGAAAGACAUGGGGAGAAGGUUGAUUAUAUAGAGGAAGAGAAAGACAUAUGGGGAGAAGGUUGAUAAUAUAGAGGAAGAGAAAGACAUAUGGGGAGAAGGGGGAUAAUAUAGAGGAAGAGAAAGACAUAUGGGGAGAAGGUUGAUAAUAUAGAGGAAGAGAAAGACAUGGGGAGAAGGUUGAUUAUAUAGAGGAAAAGAAAGACAUAUGGGGAGAAGGUUGAUUAUAUAGAGGAAGAGAAAGACAUAUGGGGAGAAGGGGGAUAAUAUAGAGGAAGAGAAAGACAUAUGGGGAGAAGGUUGAUAAUAUAGAGGAAGAGAAAGACAUGGGGAGAAGGUUGAUUAUAUAGAGGAAGAGAAAGACAUGGGGAGAAGGUUGAUUAUAUAGAGGAAGAGAAAGACAUAUGGGGAGAAGGUUGAUAAUAUAGAGGAAGAGAAAGACAUAUGGGGAGAAGGGGGAUAAUAUAGAGGAAGAGAAAGACAUAUGGGGAGAAGGUUGAUAAUAUAGAGGAAGAGAAAGACAUGGGGAGAAGGUUGAUUAUAUAGAGGAAAAGAAAGACAUAUGGGGAGAAGGUUGAUAAUAUAGAGGAAGAGAAAGACAUAUGGGGAGAAGGUUGAUAAUAUAGAGGAAGAGAAAGACAUAUGGGGAGAAGGGGGAUAAUAUAGAGGAAGAGAAAGACAUAUGGGGAGAAGGUUGAUAAUAUAGAGGAAGAGAAAGACAUGGGGAGAAGGUUGAUUAUAUAGAGGAAGAGAAAGACAUAUGGGGAGAAGGUUGAUAAUAUAGAGGAAGAGAAAGACAUAUGGGGAGAAGGUUGAUUAUAUAGAGGAAGAGAAAGACAUAUGGGGAGAAGGGGGAUAAUAUAGAGAAAGAGAAAUACAUAUGGGGAGAAGGUUGAUUAUAUAGAGGAAGAGAAAUACAUAUGGGGAGAAGGUUGAUAAUAUAGAGGAAGAGAAAGACAUAUGGGGAGAAGGGGGAUAAUAUAGAGGAAGAGAAAGACAUAUGGGGAGAAGGUUGAUAAUAUAGAGGAAGAGAAAGACAUGGGGAGAAGGUUGAUUAUAUAGAGGAAAAGAAAGACAUAUGGGGAGAAGGUUGAUUAUAUAGAGGAAGAGAAAGACAUAUGGGGAGAAGGGGGAUAAUAUAGAGGAAGAGAAAGACAUAUGGGGAGAAGGUUGAUAAUAUAGAGGAAGAGAAAGACAUGGGGAGAAGGUUGAUUAUAUAGAGGAAGAGAAAUACAUAUGGGGAGAAGGUUGAUUAUAUAGAGGAAGAGAAAGACAUAUGGGGAGAAGGGUGAUAAUAUAGAGAAAGAGAAAUACAUAUGGGGAGAAGGUUGAUUAUAUAGAGGAAGAGAAAGACAUAUGGGGAGAAGGUUGAUUAUAUAGAGAAAGAGAAAGACAUAUGGGGAGAAGGUUGAUAAUAUAGAGGAAGAGAAAGACAUAUGGGGAGAAGGGGGAUAAUAUAGAGGAAGAGAAAGACAUAUGGGGAGAAGGUUGAUUAUAUAGAGAAAGAGAAAGACAUAUGGGGAGAAGGGGGAUAAUAUAGAGGAAGAGAAAGACAUAUGGGGAGAAGGUUGAUUAUAUAGAGGAAGAGAAAGACAUAUGGGGAGAAGGUUGAUUAUAUAGAGAAAGAGAAAGACAUAUGGGGAGAAGGUUGAUAAUAUAGAGGAAGAGAAAGACAUAUGGGGAGAAGGGGGAUAAUAUAGAGGAAGAGAAAGACAUAUGGGGAGAAGGUUGAUUAUAUAGAGGAAGAGAAAUACAUAUGCAGAUGAGGGAAUAUAGAGAGACAGAAGAGACAUGAAGAGAUGCUUGACAUUCCGCUCUACCGCCUGUCUGCCCUCCCCAGCCAGCUUGGCUGUCAGUGUAUGUAUUUCCCCUGCCCUGAGGACCCCUACACCCCCCACCCCUCACUGGGGGUCUGGUCACACACACACACACCCCGGACACGUGUUCAAUCGAGGGGCACGGAAGUUGGUGGCAUGCGUUUCAGACACAGACCAACCAUGUUCACUGUGUCUCCUCAUUCGUGCUAAAUGUUUGCUGUUGCCAUACUUCAAAGAGAGAGGCUUCACAGUCACUUGCUCCUGUCUGUUACCUCUCAGUCAUCCACUCUCAUCCCCCUCUCAUCCUCCCCAGGUCUCUCUGGUCUCUUAGUCUCUUUGUAAGGAAACAAGAUUACCUAACUGUAAUUCAGACCAGGAUUAGGCAGGUGAUCCUGGCUUUGCUGAUGUCUGUACAGUCGUGUAGGUCCUGCAGACAAGACAUACCAUGUGUUUCUGAUUGGGAUUGAGGUUUUUAUAAUGAAAGACUAUGAUUGUUGUUGUUUUUCUUGCUGGCUUUGUACUUAAAGGUGCACUAUGCAGAAAUCGCUCCGCCAUUUCCUGGUUGCUAAAAUUCUAGUAGUUUGCCUAAUUUCAGUUUUGGUGACAAAAAACAAGCAAGUAUAGUGUAGAGAAUCAUUGUACCCUCUAAACUGCUGUGAAAUAUAUGUUCUAUAACCCCAAAUAUAGUAUUUUCAGCUGUUUGAAGCUAGUGUACAAAACUGAAAGUAAAAGAGGGAAAAACUAAACUUAAGAAUGGGAAGCAUAGAAAUUGUUCACAUAGAACAUAUCUACAGCUUCUUAGACUUGCUUUCAAUGAGAAUGACAGAUCUAUAACACACAUUUCUAUGUGAAUUGGUCGGGUUGCCAAAAAAAUGACAUAUUGUACCUUUAAUAGAUGAUUGUGUGAUAACCUUUUUAUAGACACACUAUUCUGCCAAAUACGAAGCACCACACACUCUGAAGCGCCACAUACAUACACCUGUCUCCUGUCAUGUGACCUAGGUGUCACCCUGACCCUUGGUUAUGUCUAGGGAGCUACACCCACUGAAAAUAAAUGUAAAACAUAUAGGCCUACCAUGUGUAAACUCCUGUACACACACACCCAGCCAUUUCCACUGAAGACAGAUAGCGAACACAUAAACUCAACAGCCAAGAGGCACAUUACAGUUUGUUCCUUAAAGGGGAAUUUCACCCUGGGGAAAUCUGGGCUUGUUUUCAUCAUGUCUGAGGCAUUUCUAGUACAGUGAGAUAAUAAUCACACGUAAUUGCCCAGGAGGAAGGCAGGUCAGGGCUUCGCGCACUGAAUGAUACACCGUAUAGCGG